rnacentral:misc_RNA from 1 species
UCCGGUUUGUCACCGGCAGUCUCCUUAGAGUUCCCACCUUUACGUGCUGGCAACUAAGGACAAGGGUUGCGCUCGUUGCGGGACUUAACCCAACAUCUCACGACACGAGCUGACGACAGCCAUGCAGCACCUGUCUCACGGUUCCCGAAGGCACUCUCUGAUCUCUCAAAGGUUCCGUGGAUGUCAAGGCCAGGUAAGGUUCUGCGCGUUGCAUCGAAUUAAACCACAUACUCCACCGCUUGUGCGGGCCCCCGUCAAUUCCUUUGAGUUUCAGUCUUGCGACCGUACUCCCCAGGCGGUCAACUUCACGCGUUAGCUGCGUUACUAAGAGAUAACCUCUCCCAACAACUAGUUGACAUCGUUUAGGGCGUGGACUAC